GAGCAGAAGAAAAGAUAGCGACUUCUGCGAAUGUGGGUUUCAGAAGGUCCAGUAAGUUCCGACAAAGGAUCAGGUUCUUGGAAGGUUCAUUGAAGAAAACUGAAGUCCUUUCAUCUGAGAAACAAAGAUUAACUUUAGAAAAGAGAAAGAUUAAGAAAUGAAGUCUAAUCCUUGAAGAGCAGAAAUUCGGAUGAACAGGAAAGAAUUUGAAGGGUGACCUCACGGUUCCCGAGGAUUUUUGGUUAUCGGCGUUGAAGGGGGCGGCAGAAACGGAGAAACGAGGGGAGACACGGCUGAUUAUGAAAGGUUUUUGUCGCGUUGGCGCCAGCGGGUCGAAGGCGACGUUCUCCUCUUCCUCUUCCACGGCUUCGAAUAGCUAAAAUCAUCCCGCGUGCCAAUUUCAAAGCAGCGCCACGGACCCUGGGGUUUCAUGGAAAAAAAGAAAAGGAGGAGCGGCCGUCUCUCGUUACACAUCCGUAGCACGGUGCAUUUAGCGUGACUGCAGUCGAACGACGGUACGCGAUGCAUGUACUACGCACCGAUUGUGAGCUUAGAAAUCGGGGGAGGAGUCAAUGGUUUCCCAUACGUCCUAGAAGAAGCAGAAAGUCAGGAAAUAUAAAGCAAAAGGAAGAAAAAUAUGAAAGGUGAACGAAGAAAAUUGUAAGGUGAUUAAAGAUGUAAAAGAGAAAUGAAGGUAGAAAGAAAAAGAAUUGUGUUUCGCGACAAGUUAUACGUUUGAAUGAUAGAGCUAAGUUGUAAUGGUUCCACCCAACUGUGAGACGACAUCAGAGAACAGCUGUUCCAACGAAAAGGAGCAGUCAGUAGCAUGCAUGACGUGAUGCACCGUCACGAAUGCAAGUGCGACUGUCACACCUGGCCACAACUGUCCCUCUAUUCUUAGCUUUCGGAAUUCAUCUUGAAGCAGACGUCCAUUGAAAAGCAUCACCUGCACCUAUUCUUCAUCAUCCAAUAGAGCUCGAGAAAUACCUGCACAGGUGAGGCUUCCCUUGCAGCGAUUGGUCAACGUCGACGAAGAGGAGAACUGAAGCAAAAUGGCGUGGACCUCUGCAACUAAAGAAACCCUUGCUUCUUAAAAUUAUUUGUAAUAUCUUGCUACAUCAUUAAAUUUAUUCGUAAUCUUUUAAGUCCAUUA